AACGCGAAGAACCUUACCCGGGUUUGACAUACAGGUAGUAGGGAUCCGAGAGGUGACCGACCCUUCGGGGAGCCUGUACAGGUGCUGCAUGGCUGUCGUCAGCUCGUGCCGUGAGGUGUCCGGUUAAGUCCGGUAACGAGCGCAACCCUCACUGUGUGUUACAUGUGUCACACGGAACUGCCGGUAUCAAGCCGGAGGAAGGUGGGGAUGACGUCAAGUCAGCAUGGCCUUUAUAUCCGGGGCUACACACACGCUACAAUGGUCGGUGCAAUGGGUCGCAAAGCCGCGAGGUGGAGCCAAUCCCCAAAACCGGCCUCAGUUCAGAUUGCAGUCUGCAACCCGACUGCAUGAAGGCGGAGUUGCUAGUAACCGCGCGUCAGCCAUAGUGCGGUGAAUGCGUUCCCGGGUCUUGUACACACGC
rnacentral:rRNA from 1 species